UAGGGAAUCUUCCGCAAUGGACGAAAGUCUGACGGAGCAACGCCGCGUGAGCGAAGAAGGCCUUCGGGUCGUAAAGCUCUGUUGUUAGGGAAGAACAAGUACGAGAGUAACUGCUCGUACCUUGACGGUACCUAACCAGAAAGCCACGGCUAACUACGUGCCAGCAGCCGCGGUAAUACGUAGGUGGCAAGCGUUGUCCGGAAUUAUUGGGCGUAAAGCGCGCGCAGGCGGUCCUUUAAGUCUGAUGUGAAAGCCCACGGCUCAACCGUGGAGGGUCAUUGGAAACUGGGGGACUUGAGUGCAGAAGAGGAGAGUGGAAUUCCACGUGUAGCGGUGAAAUGCGUAGAGAUGUGGAGGAACACCAGUGGCGAAGGCGACUCUCUGGUCUGUAACUGACGCUGAGGCGCGAAAGCGUGGGGGAGCAAACAGGAUUAGAUACCCUGGUAGUCCACGCCGUAAACGAUGAGUGCUAAGUGUUAGAGGGUUUCCGCCCUUUAG
rnacentral:rRNA from 1 species